CUACGGGUUGCAGCAGUGGGGAAUUUUGCGCAAUGGGCGAAAGCCUGACGCAGCAACGCCGCGUGAGGGAUGAAGGCCUUCGGGUUGUAAACCUCUUUCGGGUGGGAAGAAAAAAAUGACGGUACCACCAGAAGAAGCCCCGGCUAACUCCGUGCCAGCAGCCGCGGUAAUACGGAGGGGGCAAGCGUUGUUCGGAAUUAUUGGGCGUAAAGCGUAUGUAGGCGGUCUGGCAAGUCAGACGUGUAAGCCCACGGCUCAACCGUGGAAUUGCGUUUGAAACUAUCAGGCUUGAGUUCGGAAGAGGAAAGCGGAAUUCCCAGUGUAGCGGUGAAAUGCAUUGAUAUUGGGAAGAACAUCGGUGGCGAAGGCGGCUUUCUGGUCCGAUACUGACGCUGAGAUACGGAAGCCAGGGGAGCAAACGGGAUUAGAUACCCGGGUAGUC
rnacentral:rRNA from 1 species